rnacentral:rRNA from 1 species
GACGAACGCUGGCGGCGUGCUUAACACAUGCAAGUCGAGCGGAAAGGCCCUUCGGGGUACUCGAGCGGCGAACGGGUGAGUAACACGUGAGUAAUCUGCCCUUCACACUGGGAUAGCCCUCCGAAAGGGGGAUUAAUACCGGAUAGUAUCAGUUCCCGCAUGGGUGUUGGGGGAAAGUUUUGUCGGUGGGGGAUGUGGGCGCGGCCUAUCAGCUUGAUGGUGGGGUAAUGUCCUACCAUGGCUUCGACGGGUAGCCGGGCUGAGAGGGGGACCGGCCACACUGGGACUGAGACACGGCCCAGACUCCUACGGGAGGCAGCAGUGGGGAAUAUUGGACAAUGGGCGGAAGCCUGAUCCAGCAACGCCGCGUGAGGGAUGACGGCCUUCGGGUUGUAAACCUCUUUCAGCACCGACGAACCCUUCGGGUGACGGUAGGUGUAGAAGAAGGACCGGCCAACUACGUGCCAGCCGCCGCUGUAAUAC